UUUGGGCAGGCUACAGGUGACCACACAUGGCCUGACUUAUAUGGGACCUAAAUCCCCCCCCCAAAAGGCAGACUUUAAUUUUAUUAUUAUUUUUGCUUCUAUCUUUCUUUUUAAGUCUGACUUAUACACCUUCCAUUCCGGCAAUUUUUGUUAGAAUGCUACCUUCUUGUACCUGGCCCAGCAGACCAUGCAACAUAAAAUGUAAGACUUGCAAAUAGUGAGACAUACCAGGUAAUGACCGCUGAUUUUGCCGCAUAGACAAGAUGGAUCAGCCCAGCAGCUGUUAGGAUGACAGAAAGCUGCCUAGUUUCUUAGCCACUCUGUCAUUCAAAUAUCAGGGGCUUCUGUUCGCUGCAUCUUCCUUCACACAAGAGCAGAUAUCUGUGACUUUUCACUGGCUCCUGACCCUUACGGACCUUCUGGCUGCCUCUCUCCCACAGUCUGCCCUUAGUUGAAGAAAACUGUUAUUUAUGAGGGAGGGUUGGAGGCAGACAGGCAAUGAACCAAACACCUUAAUAAAAGCUAACAACCUCCCCCACCAUCUCCAAGAUAAAGGCACAUCGGCAGUCAGUCGCACCGUUUACUAACGCAUCAUUAAAAAAAAACAACUUUGAUUUGUGUUUAUUUUUUUAAGUAACAGUGAGGUUUGGGGAGGCGUAGCAGCUUCGCCGUGUCUCUAUCUGUACUAGGACCCCGCAGCUACCUGCACUCCCCAACUUCCCCUGCCCCGCAUAGCUCUCUCUCACUCACUCACCUGGGGCAGAUGCAGGCCCCUUUCUGCCUGUGACUCACGUGCAUGGGAAGUUCUGCUUCUGCCGCUCUGUUCCUAUGCCCCCCCCCCUUCCUCUCCCCGAUACAGUUCAAAAGCUCUGCGAUCAGAGCCAGGUCAGAGCUGCCGGAGAGCUGAGGGGGUAGGGCAGGGGCUGGCAAAACCAAGCUCAAUAUUGGUGCCGCAACCCUGCGCCGCUGGUGACGUCACACAAAGUGCGCAGCUGGAGGAGGGUGCCGUUUAAAAUCAGAAAAAAACUUUAUCCCUCCAUUGGGUUGCGGACCCCAUCGGGGGUGCAGGGGCACGGGCCAUGGUACCGCCGCACCCCUGGGCCCUGCACCCCCGGUAGUUCCGCCACUGCCCUCAUCCCAUGUCUAUCUGAGUCGCUACAUUUCUGCAGAGCAGCCUCGCGAUUCCCUAGUGCAGAGCGGAAUGGGUCAACAGUGGGCCCCCCUUAUAAGUGGGCCCUGGGCAGCUGCCCACUUUGCCCAUUUGUUAAAGCGGCCCUGGGUGGAUCUUCCUCUUUGGCUUCUGGAUGCUGUUCCAGCUGGAUGUUUACAGGGAGCCUGGGUACAACAAGGCCCAGUAAAGCCAUUUUGCCAUAGAGGGACCGGGGAACCAGUACCUCUAGAGAGUAAAGUCGGGCAGCAGGGACCCUGUGAAAGAGGCUAGUUAGAGAUAGGAUACUACAUGUAAUCUUUGGGAAAUUAGAUAGGUAGGUUAAAUAGCAAGAACAGCUGGGAUCCAACUAGGAGGGAUAGCAAGGAGGUAGUCCUCCACUCAGGCAAGACUGGCCUGUAGUACAGCAACGCAGCCUAAUAGGAAGUUAGGGCUAAGGAUCAGAGUGCUUCGAUCCUCAGGGUUUAUCUAUCCAGGUGUUCCGCUAUCACCUUGGGGAGUUCCACUGUGCUGUGUCUGAGGGACAUGUUGUAGCCAUGUCAUGUCUGCUGGAGCCUCUGUGUAUUGUAAGUAAUAAACAUGUGGAUCAUUUGUCUUGGACAAAUAAACUGUACUAACCUGG